rnacentral:rRNA from 1 species
AACGAACGCUGGCGGCAUGCCUAACACAUGCAAGUCGAACGAGACCUUCGGGCCUAGUGACGCACGGGUGCGUAACGCGUGGGAAUCUGCCCUUGGGUUCGGAAUAACUCGCCGAAAGGCGUGCUAAUACCGGAUGGUGUCGUAAGACCAAAGGUUUAUCGCCCAGGGAUGAGCCCGCGUAAGAUUAGGUAGUUGGUGAGGUAAAGGCUCACCAAGCCGACGAUCUUUAGCUGGCCUGAGAGGAUGAUCAGCCACACUGGGUCUGAGACACGGCCCAG